rnacentral:rRNA from 1 species
AACGAACGCUGGCGGCAUGCCUAACACAUGCAAGUCGAACGAGACCUUCGGGUCUAGUGGCGCACGGGUGCGUAACGCGUGGGAACCUGCCCUUAGGUUCGGAAUAACUCCCCGAAAGGGGUGCUAAUACCGGAUAAUGUCUUCGGACCAAAGAUUUAUCGCCUUUGGAUGGGCCCGCGUUGGAUUAGCUAGUUGGUAGGGUAAAAGCCUACCAAGGCGACGAUCCAUAGCUGGUCAGAGAGGAUGAUCAGCCACACUGGGACUGAGACACGGCGCAGACUCCUACAGGAGGCAGCAGUGGGGAAUAUUGGCCAAUCGGCGAAAGCCUGAUCCAGCAAUGCCGCGUGAGUGAUGAAGGCCUUAGGGUUGUAAAGCUCUUUUACCCGGGAUGAUAAUGACAGUACCGGGAGAAUAAGCUCCGGCUAACUCCGUG